rnacentral:rRNA from 1 species
AGUGAACGCUGGCGGUAGGCCUAACACAUGCAGGUCGAACGGCAGCACAGAGGAGCUUGCUCCUUGGGUGGCGAGUGGCGGACGGGUGAGGAAUACAUCGGAAUCUACUCUGUCGUGGGGGAUAACGUAGGGAAACUUACGCUAAUACCGCAUACGACCUACGGGUGAAAGCAGGGGAUCUUCGGACCUUGCGCGAUUGAAUGAGCCGAUGUCGGAUUAGCUAGUUGGCGGGGUAAAGGCCCACCAAGGCGACGAUCCGUAGCUGGUCUGAGAGGAUGAUCAGCCACACUGGAACUGAGACACGGUCCAGACUCCUACGGGAGGCAGCAGUGGGGAAUAUUGGACAAUGGGCGCAAGCCUGAUCCAGCCAUACCGCGUGGGUGAAGAAGGCCUUCGGGUUGUAAAGCCCUUUUGUUGGGAAAGAAAUCCAGCUGGCUAAUACCCGGUUGGGAUGACGGUACCCAAAGAAUAAGCAC